GGCGGCGUAGCUCAGUUGGCUAGAGCAUACGGUUCAUACCCGUAGUGUCAGCGGUUCGACCCCGUUCGCCGCUACCA
rnacentral:tRNA from 4 species